rnacentral:snRNA from 1 species
CUUAUUCAAUGCAAAAAUUAACU